CAUAUGCUUGUCUCAAAGAUUAAGCCAUGCAUGUCUCAGUACAAGCCAAAUUAAGGCGAAACCGCGAAAGGCUCAUUAAAUCAGUUAUGGUUCCUUAGAUCGUACCCACAUUUACUUGGAUAACUGUGGUAAUUCUAGAGCUAAUACAUGCAAAUAGAGCUCCGACCGGGAACGGAAGGAGCGCUUUUAUUAGAUCAAAACCAAUAGGUGGCGGGUUCGCUCGUCAUCGUACAAUUUGGUGAUUCUGAAUAACUUUAAGCUGAUCGCACGGUCUCGUACCGGCGACGCAUCUUUCAAAUGUCUGCCUUAUCAACUGUCGAUGGUAGGUUCUGCGCCUACCAUGGUUGUUACGGGUAACGGGGAAUCAGGGUUCGAUUCCGGAGAGGGAGCCUGAGAAACGGCUACCACAUCCAAGGAAGGCAGCAGGCGCGCAAAUUACCCACUCCCAGCUCGGGGAGGUAGUGACGAAAAAUAACGAUACGGGACUCAUCCGAGGCCCCGUAAUCGGAAUGAGUACACUCUAAACCCUUUAACGAG
rnacentral:rRNA from 1 species